CAAAAUGAUUGUACAUGUUCAUUAACAUUGCCAUCUGUUUCUGUACAUGUUGCCGUUUUCAAAUCGAUUCUAUCUCUUAUACUUUUUGAGAAAAAUGCAAAGAAAAGAAAUUGUUUCAAGGGGAUAUAACUCUCAUAGGGACGAUGAAAUCCUAUUCAGCCUCACAUGGUAAUACAUCAUGAUGAGAUCUACAUUAUGUCCAAUUAAGGUCAUGAUAUCUUAAAAACCAACGAGGGGGGGCCAUGUUGAAAAAAAUCAAUAAAAGGGAGAUAACUCCUAAAGGGGAUGAUGAAAUCCUUAACAGGGUCAUUUGGUAAUACAUCUUUGUGAGGUCUAGCGAUGGUUCAUAUUUGGUCAUAAUAACUUCAACAGAAACAAGAGGCGGGCAUGUCAAACAAAUGUUGGAAGAAAAAAAAGAAAAAGACUAGUAUC
rnacentral:lncRNA from 1 species